rnacentral:rRNA from 1 species
UACAGAGGUGGCAAGCGUUGUUCGGAAUUACUGGGCGUAAAGGGCGCGUAGGCGGUUCGAUAAGUCCCGUGUGAAAUCCCUCGGCUCAACUGAGGAACUGCACGGGAAACUGACGGGCUUGAGUUCGGGAGAGGGAAGCGGAAUUCCGGGUGUAGCGGUGAAAUGCGUAGAUAUCUGGAGGAACACCGGUGGCGAAGGCGGCGUCCUGGACCAACACUGACACUGAUGAGCGAAAGCCAGGGGAGCAAACGGG